rnacentral:tRNA from 1 species
GCGGAUGUAGCUCAGUUGGCAGAGCGCGACCUCGCCAGGGUCGAGGCCACGAGUUCGAGACUCGUCGUCCGCUCCA